rnacentral:lncRNA from 1 species
CAUAAAUGCACACAAUACACUUAAACUUAUUCAAUGAUUCGUUUUUACUUUUUUCAAGGUGAGCAUAAAAACAAAUUGAAUUUAUACUGCUUUUUAAUGGAACAUCUCUUAUGCUAAGGAAAGAUGGAUGCACAGUAAUAAAAUGGAAUAUAAAAUGUGGUUUUGGCAAUAAUAUUUAAGGAAACAAGUAUGUGACCUGAAUAUCAUAGGUGGGCUGUUUUCUGAAUGAGAAUUAGUUUGUGCAUUUGGCCUCAAAGUAAAUGUUAACUCUUUCAACUCAUAGAUGAAAUCAUUUUUUUCAUAGAACAGACAUUUUUUGGUUUCCCACUUUAGGUUAUGCAUUAUUCUGAAUACAUAAAAGCUAAUAAUUUACCCACUGGGAGAAUGCAUAUGAAAUAGACAGGAGAACAAAUUAAACAAUAAUGAUAAUAUAUGCUCAUGUGUUGUUAGAGAAAAAUUCUCAAAAUAUCCCUUAAGUGUCUUGAAAGUGGACAGUCUAUUAUCUUUUGUGGUAUAGUUAUAACUAAAAUUAUUGUACAACAGAAAGAGGAAUCUUUUUUAGGACAAAUGGAAGAAUCAGUUUUGCAACAUCUAUGGGAAAACUGUCAGCUCACAUAGAAA